GAGCGCUGGGAUCAAAAGGUGUACAUCACUACACCAGGCUGACUGCCAGUUUUGAACUGGCUAAUCCAGCUGUCUAGGCAGGUGACCCCUUCCUCCCUAACCACUCCCUGUGUAUCGCCCCAGGGUACAUGUCUGGUCAAAGAGGCCAAUGUUUCCCAGUAAGAGAACUGCCCUUUGGUCAAGGCUAUACAAGUACAAGCAGGUGUGCUCUCCUGCUAGAACCAAGAAACAGGAUCUCAAACCAAGAACUCUGGCACACGAGGCAAAACUCUACCUUGAGUUACAUCUCUAGUACUUCAAUUUUUG
rnacentral:snRNA from 1 species